GAAAAAUAAGACGGUCCGAAGCCACAGCCUUGUAGUACAACCUUUUACUUUGUGGACAUUGGGCAGACUGGAUUCCUUUUAGCAAUGCCUGAGUCUGUGUGUGAAAUCCCUGCGUUUCCAAGACACCCAGCCUCUGCCUGAGUCGAAGCUAGACCUACAGCAAGGAGACGUGCCUUUUCUCUUCCUCUGACGGGAAGUCAGCUCUUUAUCCAAACACUGGUGGGACCAUCUUCAUAGCAUGACACAUGUUCAAGCCUCAAGGAUUUAAGAUUUGCUGAGUCACGUGUCCUGUCUCGCCCGCAAGUGCUUUCCUUACAGUAACCAAGUUCACAAUGAUCUCUUUCGGAAACCAGCCUUGUUACACAUCUGUUUAUGGCCAGCUUUUCCUUAUUGUGAGAUAGGUUUGGUCCACGUAGGACAAGUUGCAUUUACUGUUCCCAGGCCAUUCAACAGCCUCUUGUAAAUAAAUGUAUGUAAAGUAAUUAGCUGAGUAUCCUGGCGA